rnacentral:misc_RNA from 1 species
UGGACUACUCGGGUUUCUAAUCCCGUUCUCUCCCCUAGCUUUCGCAUCUGAGCGUCAGGACUGGCCCAGAAAAUCGCCUUCGCCACUGGUGUUCCUCCCGAUAUCUACGCAUUUCACCACUACACCGGGAAUUCCAUUUUCCUCUAUCGCUCUCUAGUCUGGUAGUUUUGGACGACCUCUCCCAGUUGAGCCGGGAGCUUUCACGCCCAACUUACCAAACCGCCUGCACGCGCUUUACGCCCAGUGAAUCCGGAUAACGCUCGCCUCCUACGUUUUACCGCGGCGGCUGGCAC